CUUCCAUCCCUAAACCUAAACAUUAUGACUCUUCUCAUCCUCUUCUCUUCAGUGUCACUGCUUUGCCAUCGUUGGGUUUCUCUACUUUAGAUUGUGUCAUCUUGUCGUCUCCUACUCCAGAUCGUGUUGGCCGCUCCAGAUUCGGGGCCAUAUGAUUGAUGAUCACAAGAUUAUACUCGAACAAGUCUUUGGCCUUUCAUUCGAUAGCAAAGUGGAGGAUUCAAUAUUCAAACAAGUCUCCGCUAUUCGAAAUCGUUCGUUUUCCUCCUUUUUUCUCACACUCAAUGUGUUCCCCCAAUCUUCUAGCCGCACAUAUGUUCAAGAUUCCAAACAUCGUGAACCCUCAGUUAUAUGAUUUUAUUACUUUGUUAUGAUUUUAUUUUAAGGAUUGGCCUAUAUUCAUCUGUUAUUCAUUUGAUUGGUUUCACGUAGCUUGGCGUUGGAACUUUCUUGCUUGGCUUAGUUGCUGCAAAAGUGGAAGCCAAUAUGACUCUUACAGAUGACUCGAAUAGAUUAGAGGAUGAAGCUUGCUGACGAUAAUGACUUGGAUGAACAUGGUGUUACUCCCAAUGGAAUUGAGAGAAAUACUAAGCUCAAGGCUCUUCAUGGUCUUCCAAAUCAACCCAAAAGAAUGCUUAGUAACUUUUGGCCCACCAAUAGAGGCACUAAUGAAAAGAAUUGAUUCAACUGGCAAAGAAGGAGGAUUUAAAGCUUAGAAGGUGGGAGGUUAAGAGAUCAAAUCUUGACUUUGACAUAUUUUGUGACAAAUAUGUGAUGUGGCAAGUGGUGGCGACUGAUGUGGGAUGAGGUGGCAACAUGUUGCGUGACGUGGUAUUGGUUGACUCACACAUGGACAGAGAUAGAGUGAAGCUUUGAAUCGAGAACCCUCUGUUAUGUUUGUCUUCUCUUUCCUUUUUCGUUCCCAAUUGGCCACCACUUGGCAUAGGAGUUGAGUUGCUGAGAGUUCGCCAUCACAAGGAGUUUGGUUAAGGUGGUGGUAUGUUCUUUCCUCUUCCCUGCUCACAACACUGUUUUGGUUUGGGGGAGCUUCAAAAUUUUCCUCUUACUUCAUCAUGAUUGGUUUGAGGUUCAAGCGAAGGAUCCAAUAGUGGACGAGAAAAAGAGCAGAGCUAGAGAUUAUUUGUGGAUUGUAAAGAACUGCAACGCCUUUCUUUUAAGCAAGUACAUUGUAAUAUAUUUAGGUUAGGAUGUCAGUAGGAUGUGAUUAUAUAUAUAUAUAUAUAUAUGCGUAUGAAUAUGUGUGGAUUGUAUGCCUAUGUAUGGAUUUUUGUAUGCUUAUAGACUUGUGAUUAGGAAACUUGGUUAUGAUGUGUGGUUUUGAUGGAUUCAUUUUGUAGACCAAGUUUUCACUACAAGCAAAUGUUUAUUUUGAUAUGUAUAUCAA